GCGAGCGUAGUUUAGUGGCAGAACACUAGCUUCCCAAGCUAGGGAUGCGGGUCCGAUUCCCGCCGCUCGCA
rnacentral:tRNA from 1 species